CCUGGGCAGUGCAAGAGCCCCAUUCUGCAAUAUUCUGCAACAUUCGUUUUCCCGCGUUUGUUGGAGCGGGCUUUUAAAUAUGUUACGCAAAGAGUAGCGAGUGCAACCAAUGUUCGUACUUCAAAACAAGUGCAAGAGUUGGGUGCGGGUGGCUGCCGACACUUAUUUCAAGCAGCUUGCUGAACUCUCAUGCCCAUCAACGCAGUAAAGCUGCUCAGUUUUGAUAGACAUGUCAUCACAACGCUUUCUACACUCAACUACCAGCGUUGCAGGCAGCAGCUCAAGCUCGUCGCGGUCGCGCCCAGGCAGCGGCCAAUGGCGAAUUCUUAGAAAGUGGGCGAUGUCAAGAUCGUCCUCGGAGGCGUCUCUCAGUUCGACUAUAUUGAAAGAUAGUGAUAAUGAAUAUUUGGGUAACGAGUCGCAGGCGCUUCAGCAACGUUCACUAACAAGGAGCCCCCGGAGUCCAUUGAGUGGCAACACAAAAUCCAGAUUACCACAUGAAAACACGAAAAGGAAGCUAGCAAUCAGUGGAGCUGGCUCGCCUCCAGGAAUGUCACCAAGAAAAGUGUCCAGGCCUGAGCUUGAGAAAGUAGCAAGCUCCAGGGCACCUUCACAUUCGACUUCAGUAGCCACUCCAGUAGUUGCAACACCUCGCAGGUCAUUCUGGAGUAUUUCUCAUCGUGAAGAGGCUCCUUCUGAUUCGUUGGCGCGAAAUGCUCAAAAUGGUAGAAAAAGUGCACCUGAAGAAAAGUCAGCUGAUGGGUUCAGCAGAGUGAGGCAGGGACAAGCUAAUACAAGUUCGCAGCUUUCUACUAGAAGUCAACAGGGUCUUGCAUCUGGUUCCUCUCGUCAUCAAAAUGCCACUUCAGGACGUGAGAGAACACUGGCCUCAACUUCAAGUGGCAGGAUGACAUUAAAAGAAAAGUCCGCUGUCAAAUUCAGCACAAAAAGGCAAGGACAUAAAUCUUCCACUUUGCGGUCACCAAGUAAAUGCAAGCAGAACACCAUGCAUUUAGACCCGCUGUGCUUGCUUAUAGUGGCUAUGUUGGGAUGCUAAGCACGAGGUUGCGGGAUCGAAUCCUGGCCACGGCGGCUGCAUUUCGAUGGGGGUGAGGUUGCACCAAAAAAAGCUGUGAGAAAGCCAGGAUAUAAAAUCUUGGGAGAGAUUGACCGUCAUCGGUCAUCUACAGUGACACUCAUCCCCCGCCUUCCAUUUGCUCGUGUUGUGCGCGAGAUUCUUUUUCGCAUAACUGGUGAUGAUUUUAAGAUGCAGAAACUGGCCCUGAAAGCACUCCAUGAGGCCAGUGAAGCAGUCAUUGUGGCACUCUUGGAAGGUUCUAAUGUUCUCGCUCAUCAUGCUCACCGUGUCACAAUUAUGAGCAGGGAUUUAGAUAAAUUGCUUACCUUGAUAAAAAGCUAUGGCAACAUGCACGGCUGCCUCUCCUAAAGGCAUUAAGUCUUUUCAUGAUGGUUUUAAUGCGAAAUAGUCAUGCACUAAAAUGAACAACUUGCCAGAUCUGUGUGGUCUGCGUGGAAACAAUGAAAAUAGUGAGAAAUAUUAAUGGCUUUUAUUCUGCUUAUUUCACAAUCACUUUUGACUUAUCCAGUUACAUUGGAGUGCAAUUUUUUUAAGACUCAUGCUUGUGUUUUAUUGUAUACUAUUCGACGUGUCAGAUAGUACAAAUAAAGUGGUUUAGAAGCUUC